CCCCUAGAUGUUCUGGGCCGCACGCGCGCUACACUGAACAGUUCAACAAGUCUUAACCUUGGCCGAUAGGUCUGGGUAAUCUUUGAACGCUGUUCGUGAUUGGGAUAGACCUUUGCAAUUAUGGGUCUUCAACGAGGAAUUCCUAGUAAACGCAAGUCAUCAGCUUGCAUUGAUUACGUCCCUGCCCUUUGUACACACCGCCCGUCGCACCCACCGAUUGAAUGGUCCGGUGAAAUCUCGGGACGGCGGCUUGGUCGCUUGCGUCCGACUGCUGAAACUUGAUUAAACCAUAUCAUUUAGAGGAAGGUGAAGUCGUAACA
rnacentral:rRNA from 1 species